rnacentral:rRNA from 1 species
AAUGAUCCUUCCGUAGGGUGAACCUGCGGAAGGAUCAUUA